AGCCGUGAUUAAUUGCCGGAGAGCACCGGGAGCACCGAUGGCGGCUCCGCGGCCGCGCUGCCCCCGGCGGGCACUAGGGGAGGCCCCGGGAUCACUUUUGAGAACGAGCCGAGGGUGAAGGAGCUGGGAAAGCUGGACCCAAGUGUCGAAUUCACUUCUUCCCUGAAGGGACUUUGAUAUCCUUCACUGGUGUUCGCGUGGUUUUAGAGACACACGUUAAUCAUCUCAGCUGGAGCAACAAAAGGAACGGAGGGAAAUUAAAAAAAAAAAAAAAAAAAAUGUUUCAGAGCCGAAGAGGCAGAAGUUGUGGAAACACAAGUAUUUUUGAAAGAACUUCUCCUAAAACCAGUGCGGAAGGCUGAGCCCACCUUCAGCAUCGUGAGCCGCUGAGGUUUACAUGCGCUCACAACAGCAAAAUUUUGAACAAAAACAGUAUGAAGGAAACGGGAGAGAAAAUUCUGAAGGAAGCAGGCCAUGAGCAGCACACCCCACUGAUCCUGGGGGGACAGGCUGGAUGGAUCAUUCCCACGGAAAAGGCAGCAGUCGAUUUUCUAAAGAAAAGGAAAAAUAAAGUUAUGUUUGAGCUUUCUUUGUAA